rnacentral:rRNA from 1 species
GUUGAAACACUGUUUCUCUUACAGCCACCGAAGUUAAGCAACGUCGAGUCUAGUCAGUACUUAGAUGGGUGACCGCUUUGGAAUACCAGGUGCUGUU